rnacentral:rRNA from 1 species
GGAUUAGAUACCCUGGUAGUCCACACCGUAAACGAUGAAUGCCAGUCGUCGGGUAGUAUACUAUUCGGUGACACACCUAACGGAUUAAGCAUUCCGCCUGGGGAGUACGGUCGCAAGAUUAAAACUCAAAGGAAUUGACGGGGGCUCACACAAGCGGUGGAGCAUGUGGUUUAAUUCGAUAAUACGCGCGAAACCUUACCAGUUCUUGACAUAUAAGUUGUCUACAUUGAAAAAUGUAGGCUUAAGCUUAUACAGGUGUUGCAUGGCUGUCGUCAGCUCGUGCCG